UACGUAGGGGGCUAGCGUUGUUCGGAAUUACUGGGCGAAAGCGCACGUAGGCGGACUGUUAAGUCGGGGGUGAAAUCCUGGGGCUCAACCUCAGAAUUGCCUCCGAUACUGGCAGUCUCGAGUGCGGGAGAGGUGAGGUGGAAUUCCCAGUGUAGAGGUAGAAAUUCGUAGAUAUUGGGGAAGAACACCAAGUGGCGAAGGCGGCUCACUGGCCCGUAACUGACGCUGAGGUGCGAAAGCGUGGGGAGCAAACAGG
rnacentral:rRNA from 1 species